AUUGAACGCUGGCGGCAUGCUUUACACAUGCAAGUCGAACGGUAACAGGCCGCAAGGUGCUGACGAGUGGCGAACGGGUGAGUAAUGCAUCGGAACGUGCCCAGUCGUGGGGGAUAACUACUCGAAAGAGUAGCUAAUACCGCAUACGAUCUAUGGAUGAAAGCGGGGGACCGUAAGGCCUCGCGCGAUUGGAGCGGCCGAUGUCAGAUUAGGUAGUUGGUGGGGUAAAGGCUCACCAAGCCAACGAUCUGUAGCUGGUCUGAGAGGACGACCAGCCACACUGGGACUGAGACACGGCCCAGACUCCUACGGGAGGCGGCAGUGGGGAAUUUUGGACAACGGGCGCAAGCCUGAUCCAGCAAUGCCGCGUGCAGGAAGAAGGCCUUCGGGUUGUAAACUGCUUUUGUACGGAACGAAACGGCUCUGGUUAAUACCCGGGGCUAAUGACGGUACCGUAAGAAUAAGCACCGGCUAACUACGU
rnacentral:rRNA from 1 species